AUUGAACGCUGGCGGCAGGCCUAACACAUGCAAGUCGAACGAGUGGCGGACGGGUGAGUAAUGUAUGGGGAACUGCCUGAUGGAGGGGGAUAACUACUGGAAACGGUGGCUAAUACCGCAUACCAUCGGAUGAACCCAUAUGGGAUUAGCUAGUAGGUGGGGUAAAGGCUCACCUAGGCGACGAUCCCUAGCUGGUCUGAGAGGAUGAUCAGCCACACUGGAACUGAGACACGGCCCAGACUCCUACGGGAGGCAGCAGUGGGGAAUAUUGCACAAUGGGCGCAAGCCUGAUGCAGCCAUGCCGCGUGUAUGAAGAAGGCCUUCGGGUUGUAAAGUACUUUCAGCGGGGAGGCGUUACCCGCAGAAGAAGCACCGGCUAACUCCGUGCCAGCAGCCGCGGUAAUUC
rnacentral:rRNA from 1 species